CCUCAUGGCCUUUAUCGUCUAGGGCUACGACACGUACUACAAUGGCCGGUACAAAGGGCAGCCACUCAGCGAUGAGGCGCUAAUCCCGUAAAGCCGGUCUCAGUCCGGAUUGGAGUCUGCAACUCGACUCCAUGAAGUUGGAAUCGCUAGUAAUCGCAGAUCAGCACGCUGCGGUGAAUACGUUCCCGGGCCCUU
rnacentral:rRNA from 1 species